AUCAAAGAUAGGACUACCAUCCAAUUGUUUGUUUAUUUAUUUAAUUACUCAAAACACACAUUUUACCCAUACUGGUUUUUCACUUCGGGUAUUUUCUGUUACAGUCAUUACUCAUUUAAGGGUCUCAGCAGGCGAAAAUCAUGAGUAACUGCACAGGCUCUCUAUGCUACUGUGGAAUAGAGAUGGGAAAAUGGCUCUCAGGUAGUGUGUGUGUAUGGACUCUAUUGGUAAAUACUAGAAUAGCCUGUGUGUGUGUGUGUGUGUGUGUGUGUGUGUGUGUGUGUGUGUGUGCGUGCGUGCAUGCACGUGUCUGCGUGUGCGCGGGUGUCUGCUCUCAUAAGUCUUGUGGUAUAUCAUUAGAGUCACAGUACCCUGAGUGAAUGGUUCUAGAUAGGUAGAUGGGAACAUUGUGGUGUUUGCAAAGAAUUCUGUGCUAAAGGGAACCAGUACAUGAACAUUUAAAAUCAACAUCUAGUCACAAUACAGAUACGAUGUGACUAGAAGUACUUCUGAGCCUGGAGAAACUCAAUUUCUGAGAAAUUGGUGGCUAACCCUAGGGCCAAUCUAUCAACUAAUCAAUAAACCAAUCAAUGAAUUAAAGGGUACUAUGUGUUUGUUACAGGGCUUGAUAUGUGAGAGCAACACACUGGAGACUCCACACUGUAAGCGUGUAAGCCCAGCACCUUAUUACUUUCACAUAUCCAGUCCAGUCCAAUUCAAUGUGUCAGUGCGUGUGCCUGUGUGUCGUACAUGAGCAUGUGUGUGUGUGUGUGUGUGUGUGUAGGUGUGUAUAUGUCUUGUGUGUAUUUGGGCAUUUGAAAAAAACAUAUUCGAUUAAACGUCCAGUUAACCAGUCAGAUUAUCCUUGGGGAGAGUCCCUGGCACCUUGACCUCUGCAGCAGAGGUCAAUCCUAAAGGUUGAAGGCAGAAGGGGAGGGGCCACACACAAUGGCUGUUUCACCCUGAGAGCCAUUCCUCCUCUUAACCACCCAUCCUGUUCAGCAGUUCUCUGCCUGCCUUUCUCCGUCUUUUCUCUCCAUUUCUCUCCUCUUUAUUGGAAAUUGAUUGUCUUCUACCAUCACAAUGACACUUGGUUCUGAUUGAUUGGCAGGUAAGGGAAGAGGGAGAGAACAUUUUGUACUAGGGCUGAGAGAGCGCUGGGACUCUCCUGCACUCCGGAGCAAAAAUGGAUGCCUUACAUUAUAUACAUGAGCCUACUUCAGUAGCCUGAGUGCCAGUCUGUUUCUGCAUUAGCCAACACUUUUAUCUUAGCUUUGGUGAAUGCAAAAACAGUCAGGCAGCCAGGGCACUACUUCAGGACAGUGCUAGUUUGAGAGAUACACACAGGUGCCUUCAAUUCAACAACAUGAAACAAGCAGUGAAUACACAUGAAAUAAUACAGAGAAAAGACCAAAAGAUCCCCAUCAUCCCUCACUAGCACACAUCAGGACAGGGUUACAAACACAACAACAGACACAACAGACCAGGAAGAAAGACAGAGUCGGGGAGGAGGAGACAACACAUACAGUACAUACACACAACACAUACACAACCAGCACAAACAAAAUAACAUCUGAAAGGAAAGAAAGCAUCACAUGGCAUCACCCCUUUUCUUAACUUCUCUUUUCCAGCCCCAGUCGUUCUUUCCUUUUCUCGCCCUCUCCUUUACCCGGGAGUACAUUUCAUCCUGCAGUUUCUAUACAGCUAUAUAAUAUCCAUGCAUAUAAGAAUCGCUCGCGUCGCCCCUGACAACAGAGGUGCUCUGGUGGGUUGGUUCUCUGUUUAAUAUGGGGAUCACUUGAACACACACAGGAGGCAGUUGGCUAACAAAGCUGUAGUUUUUAAGAAAAUAAAUAUGAAAAGAAAAAAAGGAACACUAUUUGUCCACAAUGUGUUAUCGUUGGUUUUCAAAUUAACAUUUUUUUUUUUUUACUAUCCUGUAUUUUUUUCCAUUCUUUAGUCCUAUACCCUGAUGUUACCCUACAUACUGGAAGUUACCUAUACACCUCCACCCUAGAUUUCUUACAACCUACCACCCUUCCCCUCACACCAUUCUUUAUGCGCUAGAACACUUUCACCAUCCUUCCCCUAUGGCCUUAAACCCACCCUACCUCCCUUAUUCUUGACCCUACAACUCUUACACCCUACACUUCCCCUCUACCCAUAAUCCUAUCUUCUUACACCAUACCGCCCUCACAGCUUACCUCCUUUCCCCUCUGCCCUACAGCCCUACCACAUUACUUCACCGAUUCUUUCCACAACUCGUCAGCUUUUACCUUCUAUCUUUCCCACAUUCUUCUUUACCCAUCCCAUUACUUUUAGCUACAGUCAGUCUCCCUCAUCACAGGAUACAGAGGAAUAAAUCAAUAAAUCAACAAAACGUAUCAAACAGUAAAAAGGCUUCUAGUACAUAUUCUCCAUGAAUAAAAACAAUUAUUUUAGCAGUGACUCAUGACUCUCAUUGCUAAUAACGUUGUUAUUGUUUCACUACGUAACCUUUAUAUUAAAGAUUUGAGGUAUAUUGGGAUGAAAUGUCUACACAUGCCUGCCUAGUUGUCAAGCUAGCCGGGACAGGGGAUAGGUGAAGAGGGUUAGAGCCGGGACAGGGGAUAUGUGAAGAGGGUUAGAGCCGGGACAGGGGAUAGGUGAAGAGGGUUAGAGCCGGGACAGGGGAUAGGUGAAGAGGGUUAGAGCCGGGACAGGGGAUAUGUGAAGAGGGUUAGAGCCGGGACAGGGGAUAGGUGAAGAGGGUUAGAGCCGGGACAGGGGAUAGGUGAAGAGGGUUAGAGCCGGGACAGGGGAUAGGUGAAGAGGGUUAGAGCCGGGACAGGGGAAUGUGAAGAGGGUUAGAGCCGGGACAGGGGAUAUGUGAAGAGGGUUAGAGCCGGGACAGGGGAUAGGUGAAGAGGGUUAGAGUGGAGUGCGGUGGAACACUGUAUGUUUUUGGGGAUAGCUGAUUGGCCAUUGAUUUACCCCAAUGCUAGCCAGUUAAAGAGAGAUAUCUGAGGGUGUGGUUUUGAAUCACAGAAAGUGCAGACCCAUCACGUGGCACACUCACACUCCCGCUAUAAAUUACAUAAAAAUAUCUCUGGUAGGAGUGUGUGUGUGACAAAAUACAGACACACCUCAAUACCUGGGGCACAUUAACAUCCGACUGCAAGCACACAUACACACUUGCACGCACUGGCACUCACACACACACACACACAAACACGUGCACAAACACAGGCUCUCUGUUGAUCAAACCAACACCACCCAUGUCAAAUAUGUCAAAUGUGUCUCAUUCAAUGACCCAUGUGAUCAUUUGGUUAAGGUAAGAAUUAAUAAAUAAUAGGAGUAAUAAAAUGUACAAAACAAAGUGCUUUUUGAAUUCCAAUGGGAGUUGAUUCUAAGCUUGUGUAUACCGUUCCAUCCUGUAUGUGCCCCCUACACCUUGGCAUGCGUUUAAUGAGGUGUGUGUCUGUGCACAUUUGUACUUCUGUGCAUGUCUGUUUGUGCAUGUGUGUGUUCAGAGCAGUCCAACCCGUGGUUGAAGGAAAAAGGCACUCAACUCUGUCUGCAUAGCUACCACCUCCCUGUGGUCAAUAUACAGUGCAACUGCUCUGUGUGCGGGUUUAUGAUUUACAGUGUGUGUGUGUGUGUGUGUGUGUGUGUGUGUGUGUGUGUGUGUGUGUGUGUGUGUGUGUGUGUGUGUGUGUGUGUGUGUGUGU
rnacentral:lncRNA from 1 species